rnacentral:rRNA from 1 species
UACGCAGGGGGCUAGCGUUGCUCGGAAUCACUGGGCGUAAAGGGUGCGUAGGCGGGUCUUUAAGUCCGGGGUGAAAUCCUGGAGCUCAACUCCAGAACUGCCUUUGAUACUGAGGAUCUUGAGUUCGGGAGAGGUGAGUGGAACUGCGAGUGUAGAGGUGAAAUUCGUAGAUAUUCGCAAGAACACCAGUGGCGAAGGCGGCUCACUGGCCCGAUACUGACGCUGAGGCACGAAAGCGUGGGGAGCAAACAGG